rnacentral:rRNA from 1 species
GACGAACGCUGGCGGCGUGCUUAACACAUGCAAGUCGAACGAUGAUGCCCAGCUUGCUGGGCGGAUUAGUGGCGAACGGGUGAGUAACACGUGAGUAACCUGCCCUUGACUUCGGGAUAACUCCGGGAAACCGGGGCUAAUACCGGAUAUGAGCCGUCCUCGCAUGGGGGUGGUUGGAAAGUUUUUCGGUCAGGGAUGGGCUCGCGGCCUAUCAGCUUGUUGGUGGGGUGAUGGCCUACCAAGGCGACGACGGGUAGCCGGCCUGAGAGGGCGACCGGCCACACUGGGACUGAGACACGGCCCAGACUCCUACGGGAGGUAGCAGUGGGGAAUAUUGCACAAUGGGCGAAAGCCUGAUGCAGCGACGCCGCGUGAGGGAUGAAGGCCUUCGGGUUGUAAACCUCUUUCAGCAGGGAAGAAGCGCAAGUGACGGUACCUGCAGAAGAAGCGCCGGCUAACUACGUGCCAGCAGCCGCGGUAAUACGUAGGGCGCAAGCGUUGUCCGGAAUUAUUGGGCGUAAAGAGCUCGUAGGCGGUUUGUCGCGUCUGGUGUGAAAACUCGAGGCUCAACCUCGAGCUUGCAUCGGGUACGGGCAGACUAGAGUGCGGUAGGGGAGACUGGAAUUCCUGGUGUAGCGGUGGAAUGCGCAGAUAUCAGGAGGAACACCGAUGGCGAAGGCAGGUCUCUGGGCCGCAACUGACGCUGAGGAGCGAAAGCAUGGGGAGCGAACAGG